rnacentral:tRNA from 1 species
GUAACCAACGGCAAGAAAUACAUAUUAGUCAGGAUUGUGAUUCCUGUUGUCGUGGGUUCGAGCCCCAUCAGCCACCCCA